rnacentral:tRNA from 1 species
GGGAAUAUGGCUCAGGGGUAGAGUGCUUGCCUAGCAUGCAUGAAGCCCUGGGUUCAAUUCCUUAGUACUA